rnacentral:rRNA from 1 species
CCUACGGGUGGCAGCAGUGAGGAAGAUUGGUCAAUGGGCGCGAGCCUGAACCAGCCAAGUAGCGUGAAGGAUGACGGCCCUACGGGUUGUAAACUUCUUUUAUAAAGGAAUAAAGUGAGGCACGUGUGCCGUUUUGGAUGUACGUUAUGAAUAAGGAUCGGCUAACUCCGUGCCAGCAGCCGCGGUGAUACGGAGGAUCCGAGCGUUAUCCGGAUUUAUUGGGUUUAAAGGGAGCGUAGAUGGGUUUUUAAGUCCGUUGUGACAGUUUGCGGCUCAACCGUAAAAGUGCAAUUGAUACUGGCAGUCUUGAGUACAGUUGCGGUCGGCGGCCUUCGUGGUGUAGCGG